AUUGAACGCUGGCGGCAUGCCUUACACAUGCAAGUCGAACGGUAACGGGCCUUCGGGUGCCGACGAGUGGCGAACGAGUGAGUAAUACAUCGGAACGUGCCCGAUCGUGGGGGAUAACGAGGCGAAAGCUUUGCUAAUACCGCAUACGAUCUACGGAUGAAAGCCGGGGACCGCAAGGCCUUGCGCGGACGGAGCGGCCGACGGCAGAUUAGGUAGUUGGUGGGAUAAAAGCUUACCAAGCCGACGAUCUGUAGCUGGUCUGAGAGGAUGAUCCGCCACACUGGGACUGAGACACGGCCCAGACUCCUACGGGAGGCAGCAGUGGGGAAUUUUGGACAAUGGGCGCAAGCCUGAUCCAGCCAUGCCGCGUGCAGGAUGAAGGCCUUCGGGUUGUAAACUGCUUUUGUACGGAACGAAAAGCCUUCUUUUAAUACAGGAGGGUCAUGACGGUACCGGAAGAAUAAGCACCGGCUAACUACGUG
rnacentral:rRNA from 1 species